rnacentral:rRNA from 1 species
AAGUCGAACGAGAAAGUGGCUUCGGUCAUGAGUAAAGUGGCAGACGGGUGAGUAAUACUUAGGUAAUCUACCCUCGAGAUGGGAAUAACCUUCCGAAAGGAGGGCUAAUACCGAAUGAGACCACAGAUGCUUCGGCAUCAGGGGUCAAAGAUGGCCUCUAUUUAUAAGCUAUCGCUCGAGGAUGAGCUUAAGCACCAUCAGGUUGUUGGUAGGGUAACGGCUUACCAAGCCUUUGACGGUUAGCUGAUCUGAGAGGUUGAUCAGCCACACUGGAACUGAGACACGGUCCAGACUCCUACGGGAGGCAGCAGUAGGGAAUAUUGCGCAAUGGACGAAAGUCCGACGCAGCGACGCCGCGUGGGUGAUGAAGGUCUUCGGAUCGUAAAGCCCUGUCGAAAGGGACGAAAAACGGAACGGUUAAUAACCGCCCGCUUGACGGUACCUUUAAAGGAAGCACCGGCUAACUACGUGCCAGCAGCCGCGGUAAUACGUAGGGUGCUAGCGUUGUUCGGAAUCAUUGGGCGUAAAGCGCGUGUAGGCGGUUAGUUAAGUCAGAUGUGAAAUCCCUGGGCUC